rnacentral:rRNA from 1 species
GACGAACGCUGGCGGCGUGCUUAACACAUGCAAGUCGAACGAUGAAGAAAAGAAUCGAAGCUUCGGCAGAAAUUCAUUUCGGAUUAGUGGCAGACGGGUGAGUAACGCGUGAGCAACCUACCUCUUACAAAGGGAUAGCCUCGGGAAACCGGGAUUAAUACCAUAUAACAUUGUGACGAAGCAUUUCGUUGCAAUCAAAGCUACGGCGGUAAGAGAUGGGCUCGCGUCCCAUUAACCGGAUGGUGAGGUAACGGCUCACCAUAGUGACGAUGGGUAACCGGCCUGAGAGGGUGAACGGUCACACUGGAACUGAGACACGGUCCAGACUCCUACGGGAGGCAGCAGUGGGGAAUAUUGCACAAUGGAGGGAACUCUGAUGCAGCGACGCCGCGUGAGUGAUGAAGGAAUUCGUUUCGUAAAACUCUGUUCUAUGGGAAGAAAAGGACUGUACCAUAGGAGAAAGCUCCGGCUAAAUACGUG